CAGCAGCCACUUGGCAUCCUUCUUGUCAGCAUCUCUCAUGAACAGCACACAGCAGUGGCUCAGUGGAACAACAGAUGAUACCGCAAAGCACUCAGAGCCCAGUUCUGUUAGUGGCGAAAAGAACCCCAGAGGCACUGACAAAAGUGUGUGUCUAUGCUUGGAAGCUCAGGCAGAGUCAGUGACAUCUGUGAGGAAGAUAUUGGCCUAGUCACUUAGACAGAGGCGUGGCCACCACCCUCAAAAAAGCAGCACACGGACUAAAGCUGACUGCCAGACUGAGCUGUGAGGCUUUAAUGCAAAACCCCAUUGCAAGUCAAGCCGACACAAGGAGCAGAGCAUAUUCCUGCCAUAGCUGAGGAACCCCAGGAAAGAAAAAUGAGAAAUUUCACACCUGCAAAGAAGUCAUAAUCAGUGAAGAAGCCAGACUCCUCAAAGUCAAAGUGAAGGAUGAAGAAUGAACUAACUGAAGAAUCAUCAGCUCAAUACGUGCAUGCCUCCCAUCUGUCUUCCGGAAGCAGCCAUCUGCCUGAAGGUGACAAGGGGACAAGGAGCCAGACUGCUGGGCAUCUACCAUCAGGAAACUCGAAGAGAGAGACCAUUUGCACCAGGGCAGCUUUUUAGUCCUGGAAUGAAAGUAGCUGCCAUUAAUUGGGUCACAACCAGUGUAACCCAUUCACUCUACAGCUUAUUCAUUCUUUAUAAACUCUGGAAGCCUGAAAUAAUAUGGGAUUAGGGGAGGAAACUGAUGUUAUUGUAGACCCAAGAAUGGUACAGCCCACUGCCAAAAGUUUCAGAGAGGACAGGCAUGCCUCCAGAAGCACUGUGGACCAGGUCUGCAAUUGUCAUCAAAUUGAUAACUUCAUGAGGCAUGAUGAGGAAGUGGAGUCCAGACUAAAACUUCAGGGACUCAGAUGAAAGCAGUUCUCAUGGCUUUAGAAUGUUAGAGAUAUCCAAGCCUUACUAUUAUAAGGUUUUGACCCAGGAUUCUAUACAUUUCCAAAGAAAAGAAUUAAAACCAAGGUACUGUAUAUAACUCACCCCUUUAGUCCCAUGCAACUGCGGCUUCAGUGUCUUGGGAAUCUUCUGAGUGGCUCACAACUGCAGCUCAGAGAAAUCCAAAACCCUCUUCUGGAUGCCUAGGUCACCAACACUCAUGAGCACACACCCAUAGACAGCCACAUGCACAUACAUGCUCCUUAAAAAAUAAAUCCUAAAAAAAGAGAGAGCAAGCCAUUUUUAAAGGACUGCAAAGUCUUUCUCCAAACAUGAAAUGCUGCUGUGGUGAUCUGGGCGAAGGUCAUAUUUUAGCUGCAGUAUGAGAAUUAUGGCCUCUCCUCUGAACUGAUGGAGAUCUUGGAAUUUCAACCCUUUUACCAGCUCAAAAAUCUUGAUUAGCUAAAAUGUUCAUUUAUAGAAUUAAAAUAAUCCUCUUGGCUUAACUCACCACAGCCUCCUACUUUCCUCCCAGGAGAACUGUAAGCUUGAAGGCAGAAACUGAAACACAUGCAUCCUCCUCUAAGCAGGCUCGCCAAGUAGUUCUCUGCAGUGUGGCUCCCCAAGAAAAGAGACUGAAUAAAUGCUGCCUUCUGAGAGCCCAAGACUCUGAAAACUUUCUGUAAUUAUCCUUGAUUGAGUAAAAAUAACCACAACCCUGAUUACUGCCCCCUCACGCACACAGGGUUAUCAGAAAUAUUUAGGAAUACUCCCCAUAUCUUCCAGGGUUAACCACAGUUGCUGAAUCGGAAGGUUUAGCUGAACUGAUAUUGUACAAUAGCACAGCUUUCCAAGUUGGCUCGCAGAAGUUCUCUGGCAACCAUAUUUUGGUGAUGAGAUGGAAUCAGAAGAGUGUCCCAAUAAUGUUUUGGUCACUGGUAUCUAGGAAAAACUACCCUUCCUUGUUUAGAAAUUUAUCUCUGAGGCCCCAGAGUGAGGCACCUUCAGAUGGUCAUGUGGUCAUGUGUGCCCACUUCUGUCAAAAUAUAAUAUGCAUUUACAGAAUCUGUGUGUCUGGUGAUGCAAUGCUGUCUUUGGCUUCUAUGUUAUAGAUACGCAUGUUUAUCAAACAUGAAUCCUGGAAAUAGUUUCCCUUAGUUUGUGCCUUUCUGAUUCAUUUUUCUUUUCACAUGAAGUCUAAUAUUUUUCAUAAAGUUUUGAUGUUUUAAGGCAUUUUAAAGACCAC
ensembl:lncRNA